rnacentral:lncRNA from 1 species
AAAAUUGCCUUGGCUGAAACAAGCACAAGAACUAGAAGAGACCAGAAUAGCAACAGAAGAACCAACGUUCAUUCCAGAACCCUGGUCAGCCUGCAGUACCACGUGUGGGCCGGGUGUGCAGGUCCGUGAGGUGAAGUGCCGUGUGCUCCUCACAUUCACGCAGACUGAGACUGAGCUGCCCGAGGAAGAGUGUGAAGGCCCCAAGCUGCCCACCGAACGGCCCUGCCUCCUGGAAGCAUGUGAUGAGAGCCCGGCCUCCCGAGAGCUAGACAUCCCUCUCCCUGAGGACAGUGAGACGACUUACGACUGGGAGUACGCUGGGUUCACCCCUUGCACAGCAACAUGCGUGGGAGGCCAUCAAGAAGCCAUAGCAGUGUGCUUACAUAUCCAGACCCAGCAGACAGUCAAUGACAGCUUGUGUGAUAUGGUCCACCGUCCUCCAGCCAUGAGCCAGGCCUGUAACACAGAGCCCUGUCCCCCCAGGAGAGAGCCAGCAGCUUGUAGAAGCAUGCUGGGUUACAUAAUGGUCCUGCUAGUCUGAGGAGAGCCUUCUUCUCUAACAGGAUUCAACACUGCUAGGGAAGAAAGGAGGAAAGCAAGAGGCAAUAGUGAUGUGUUUCUGUACCAGCUUGUUACCUAUUUCUUGAUAUAAAAAACAAUUCUUUAUUGAGUUCAUUGUCUGUGAAUAAGAA